CACGGGGGAGCAAGCGUUGUUCGGAAUCACUGGGCGUAAAGGGCGUGUAGGCGGUCAGGUAAGUGGGAUGUGAAAUGCCCCGGCUCACCCGGGGACCGGCAUCCCAAACUGCUUGGCUUGAGUAUGGGAGAGGGAUGAGGGAAUUCCUGGUGUAGCGGUGAAAUGCGUAGAUAUCAGGAGGAACACCGGUGGCGAAGGCGCUCAUCUGGCCCAAUACUGACGCUGGAGGCGACGGAAAGCUAGGGGGAGCAAACGGG
rnacentral:rRNA from 1 species